rnacentral:rRNA from 1 species
GGCAGACGGGUGAGUAACACGUAGAUAACCUGCCCUCAAGACGGGGACAAGCGGUGGAAACAGCGGCUAAUACCCGAUAUGCUCACAGGAUCGGGAGAUCGAGUGAGGAAAGCGCCCCUUCGGGGGAGAGUGUUUGAGGAGGGAUCUGCGGCCCAUCAGCUAGUUGGUGAGGUAACGGCUCACCAAGGCGAAGACGGGUAGGGGGUGUGAGAGCAUGGCCCCCCACAAUGGGACUGAGACACGGNCCAUACUCCUACGGGAGGCAGCAGCGGGGAAUAUUGCGCAAUGGACGGAAGUCAGACGCAGCGACGCCGCGUGGGUGAGGAAGGCCUUCGGGUUGUAAAGCCCUUUUCAGGGGAGCGAGAAAGGACGGUACCCUUGGAAUAAGCGUCGGCUAACUACGUGCCAGCAGCCGCGGUAAGACGUAGGACGCAAGCGUUAUCCGGAUUUACUGGGCGUAAAGCGCCUGUAGGCGGUCAAGUAAGUCGGAUGUGAAAGCCCCGUGCUCAACGCG